rnacentral:rRNA from 1 species
UACGUAGGGUGCAAGCGUUGUCCGGAAUUAUUGGGCGUAAAGAGCUCGUAGGCGGUCUGUCGCGUCUGCUGUGAAAACUCAGGGCUUAACCCUGAGCUUGCAGUGGGUACGGGCAGACUAGAGUGCGGUAGGGGAGACUGGAAUUCCUGGUGUAGCGGUGAAAUGCGCAGAUAUCUGGAGGAACACCGGUGGCGAAGGCGACAUCCUGGACCGGUAUUGACGCUGAGGCGCGAAAGCCAGGGGAGCAAACGGG